GACACCGAUCCCGAUUUCCAAUCCAAUGCUUGGCUUUCAGCCCUGCAAUUAAACGGAUCUGCCACUCCUCUGGGCGCAAUCACUCACCAUCAUGAAAGAGUAGAUCACGUCAUCGGUGUUAUCAAAUCCUGCAAUCCCAAUGGGUUUGGAGAUGCAACAGUUACACUCAAGGACCCUACGGGCACUGUUGGCGCUAGUAUCCAUCACAAGGUCUUCACUGAAAGCGUAUUUGCGAAAGACAUAACUGUUGGAUCUGUUCUGCUUCUCCAAAAGGUCGCUGUGUUCUCUCCUAGAAAGUCUAAUUGUUAUCUGAAUAUAACCUUGUCCAAUGUAGUCAAGGUAUUUUCAAAGGACAGUGCACCUCCACCUGGAAGCUUCACAAACAUAACAGAAGAUUAAUAUUAGUUCUUUACUAAUUCUAUAUUAAG